rnacentral:rRNA from 1 species
UACGUAGGGGGCAAGCGUUGUCCGGAAUCAUUGGGCGUAAAGAGCGUGUAGGCGGCCCGAUAAGUCCGCUGUGAAAGUCCAGGGCUCAACCCUGGAAUGCCGGUGGAUACUGUCGGGCUCGAAUCCGGAAGAGGUGAGUGGAAUUCUCGGUGUAGAGGUGAAAUUCGUAGAUAUCGAGAGGAACACCGGUGGCGAAGGCGGCCUUCUGGACAGUGACUGACGCUGAGACGCGAAAGCGUGGGGAGCAAACAGG